rnacentral:rRNA from 1 species
CAAACGACUCUCGGCAACGGAUAUCUCGGCUCAUGCAUCGAUGAAGAACGUAGCGAAAUGCGAUACUUGGUGUGAAUUGCAGAAUCCCGUGAACCAUCGAGUCUUUGAACGCAAGUUGCGCCCGAAGCCAUCAGGCCGAGGGCACGUCUGCCUGGGCGUCACGC